CCUACGGGUGGCAGCAGUGAGGAAUAUUGGUCAAUGGACGAGAGUCUGAACCAGCCAAGUAGCGUGAAGGAUGACUGCCCUAUGGGUUGUAAACUUCUUUUAUAAAGGAAUAAAACGAGGCACGUGUGCCUUUUUGCAUGUACUUUAUGAAUAAGGAUCGGCUAACUCCGUGCCAGCAGCCGCGGGAAUACGGCGGAUCCGAGCGUUAUCCGGAUUUAUUGGGUUUAAAUGGAGCGUAGAUGGGUUGUUAAGUCAGUUGUGAAAGGUUGCGGCUCAACCGUAAAAUUGCAAUUGAUACUGGCAGUCUUGAGUACAGUUGAGGUAGGCGGAAUUCGUGGUGUAGCGGUGAAAUGCUUAGAUAUCACGAAGAACCCCGAUUGCGAAGGCAGCUUACUAAACUGUGACUGACAUUGAUGCUCGAAAGUGUGGGUAUCAAACAGGAUUAGAUACCCGAGUAGUC
rnacentral:rRNA from 1 species